rnacentral:rRNA from 1 species
UACAAUGCUGGCAACAGCGAUAGGGGAACCCCGCGGGCCAGGUUACAAAUCUGCCUGUCGCGAUGCCUAAAAAGCAUUUAUAAGAAAGGGCCGGGCAAGACCGGUGCCAGCCGCCGCGGUAAAACCGCCGGCUCGAGGGGUAACUGUUAUUAUUGGGUCUAAAGGGUCUGUAGCCGGCCGGAUAAGUCUCUUGAGAAAUCUGGCAGCUUAACUGUCAGGCUUUCAGGAGAUACUGUCUGGCUCGAGGCCGGGAGAGGUGAGAGGUACUUCAGGGGGAGGGGUGAAAUCUUGUAAUCCUUGAAGGACCACCAGUGGCGAAGGCGUCUCACCAGAACGGACCUGACGGCAAGGGACGAAAGCUAGGGGCACGAACCGG